rnacentral:tRNA from 1 species
GCCCGGCUGGCUCAGCGGUUGAGCGUCUGCCUUUGGCCCAGGUCAUGAUCCUGGCGUCCCGGGAUCGAGUCCCAUGUCGGGCU